rnacentral:rRNA from 1 species
UCUUGGAGCUAUACCACCUGCCCUCCAGAUUAGGUGAUCUAUCAGAAGCUGAGCAGGUUUGGGCCUGGUCAGUACUUGGAUGGGCGAUCAUCUAGGAAAGGGGGCUGCUGCUGGAU